UACGUAGGGUGCGAGCGUUGUCCGGAAUUAUUGGGCGUAAAGGGCUCGUAGGCGGUUUGUCGCGUCGGGAGUGAAAACAGCUGGCUUAACUGGUUGCUUGCUUUCGAUACGGGCAGACUAGAGGUAUGCAGGGGAGAACGGAAUUCCUGGUGUAGCGGUGAAAUGCGCAGAUAUCAGGAGGAACACCGGUGGCGAAGGCGGUUCUCUGGGCAUUACCUGACGCUGAGGAGCGAAAGUGUGGGGAGCGAACAGG
rnacentral:rRNA from 1 species